UGGGAAGCCCCCCAGCUAAAAAUCACAUGUGUGGCUGGGACUGUUUUCCAGAGCUCCAGGCUCUUUCCUUUCUUCCUUCUCCAUUAAACCCCUCUGCUCUUCUUGGCAAAGGCCCUCAGGUGAGAAUUAGAAGGGUGCAGACAGAUAGAAGCACUAUGCUGAAAUCAGUGCACAAAAGCUGGCAGUUACGUGACUCCACUAACAGGCUGUCCAUGGGACCCUUUCUGCUUUGGAACCAAAGCAGCAGAGCAUGCUAGAAAAGGAGGACACUGACAGAACACUUCUGAAUUCCUGCCCGUGCUGAAAACAGAUGAAGAUAUGGUUGAAGGAAUCCAUCCCAAGAUCUAAGAACUAUUACUACAUCAGCUACUGUAACAUGAAGAAGUUGAAUUUAGUGAUCUUUAUGGUCUCUUUCAGCUCAGAAAUACUAUACCACUUUAUUCUACUCAUCCUUUUCCUCAUGCCAAUUUUAUUGUUAAUCUCUUAAAAAUUUGCCUGGAUCCACAGCAUCCUACAUCAGUGCUUCCCACUGAAAAAUAAAACGGAG